ensembl:lncRNA
UUGUUAAAUUGGAAAUUAAUGUUUAAACAUAACUUCAGUCUCCACAAUGUUCCAUUGUGGAACAAUAGGGUGAUAUUGAAUCAGGGGAAAUCUAUGUUUGUGGAAGAAUGGAUGACAAAACAAAUUUGGUCUGUGACACAUAUAAUGGAUGAAAAUGGAGACAUACUUGAAUUAAACAGGCUUAAUGAGAAAUAUGACAUGAGUUGCUCGUUCGAGCUCUAUAAAAAGGUUUCACAGAAUAUCCCAACAGUCCUUGUAAAUACGGUAAAGAACAAUUUUUCAAAUAUACAGACUCCAAAUUUGCAUAAAGUUAAACUAGAUGGUCUUGACUUGGUUAAUGGAAAAUGCAAUAAUCAGUUUUUGAGGAGGUAUUUGGUUAACACCUUAUAUCCAGGUAGGACAAAACAUUCACCCGUCUUUAAAGAUUAUAACAAAUCUGAGAUCUCGUUGAUCAGAACCAAAUAUUUAACAUUUCCAAUUCCCCCCAAAUUUAAAGAAGUCCAUUUUAGAACUACAAAAAAUAUUUACCCCUCCAAUGAAUUUAUGAGAGACAGAUUUAAAUUUGUGUUAGACAACUGUUAUAUUUGUAAAAUAACUUCGGAAACAACAGAGCACAUGUUCUAUGGAUGUGUGACAAUCCAGAAUUUAUGGAAAUCUCUCCAUGUCCUAAUAUUGUCCCAGUAUGGAUAUAUUGAUUUUUGGUCUUUUCAAAAUAUUCAAAUUGGAGUAAUCCUUAUGGACAAAAAUAGUGAGUUUUUAGUUAACAAUCUCAUUAUUAUAACAAAGUAUUACAUACAUAAAUGCCGAUAUGCUAAAUCCCCCCCUUCAUGGCCUGCUCUUAAAAACGACCUCUCCCUGUUCCGUAAAUCUCUUAAACUAAUAAAUAAGCCCCAAGCAAUCAAAUUGCAUAGAUUUUUAGAAGAGUUUGAUUUUUCUUAGCCCCUUAUUUAAGUUAUGAGUCUUGUUUAUGGAACCUCACUUUUAGAGAUUUUUUGAUCCCCUUGUCUUCUUUAUUUCUGUUACUUGUUUUUCAUUCUUUUUUUAUUCUUAUUUAUUUUUGUAUUGGUUAUUCAUCUUUUUAUAUUAUUAUUAUGUAGAUGUGUGAAUAUGGAUGUGUAUGUAUGCAUGUGUAUAUGCAUAUAUAUGUAUAUAUAUAUGUGUGUGUGUGUAUGUUUACUUUCAGUUAUUGUCGAUUUCAUUGUGGUGUACAGGAGAUGUGAUUCUGUUCUGAUUGAUUUAAUAUGUCGCUUGUCUCUUUGAGAUUGUCAUUGUUAUUGCUCUAAAUAAAGUUCAUUUAAAAAAAAAAUCCCGCUUGUGGAGGCUGCCAUCUUGCACUUUUGGAGCCAGAGUCUGCGCAGUAGUGAUUUGAGGUGGAGGAGUGUCUUUUUUUUAAUUUAUUUUUUUUUUUGUGGAGCGACUGUGUCACGCUCCCGUCCACACACCCGCUGGACGGGACCGCGAACACGCCCCCUACACUUACGUAGCCCGGCUGCUCCAAUUUAUCUGCUGACGGAUUUGCAAUGCAAUCAACAGCAUCAAGACUGACGGAGUGUGUUUGAGAUAACCUCACACGUGUCACAGGUGACACAAGUGGCGUUUU